rnacentral:rRNA from 1 species
GACGGAGGAUGCAAGCGUUAUCCGGAAUUAUUGGGCGUAAAGCGUCCGCAGGUGGCUGUUCAAGUCUGCUGUCAAAGCGCAGAGCUUAACUCUGUACAGGCGGUGGAAACUGAAGAGCUAGAGUAUGGUAGGGGCAGAGGGAAUUCCUGGUGUAGCGGUGAAAUGCGUAGAGAUCAGGAAGAACAUCGGUGGCGAAGGCGCUCUGCUGGACCAUAACUGACACUCAGGGACGAAAGCUAGGGGAGCGAAUGGG